rnacentral:rRNA from 1 species
GAUGAACGCUGGCGGCGUGCCUAAUACAUGCAAGUCGAGCGAACGGACGCUGAUCUUGCUUUUUUCACGUUAGCGGCGGACGUGUGUGUAACACGUGUAAAACCUCCCUAUCAUACUGGUAACUCUUCGGAACACCGGCUCUAACACCGUAUAAUCUUUUGCACCGCAUGGUUCAUAAGUGAAAGUCGGUCUUUCUGUCACGUAUAGAGGGUUCUGCGCUGCAUUAUCUAGUUGUUAAGGUACCGGCUUUCCAAGGCAACGAUGCAUAGCCGACCUGAGAGGGUGAUCGGCCACACUGGAACUGAGACACGGUCCAGACGCCUACGGGAGGCAGCAGUAGGGAAUCGUCCGCAAUGGGCGAAAGCCUGACGGAGCAACGCCGAGUGAGUGAUGACGGUCUUCGGGUCGUAAAACUCUGUUAUUAGGGAAGAACAUAUGUGUAAGUAACUGUGCACAUCUUGACGGUACCUAAUCAGAAAGCCACGGCUAACUACGUG